CAAAGGAGCAAUCCGCUGAAAGAUGGGCUCGCGUCCGAUUAGGUAGUUGGCGGGGCAACGGCCCACCAAGCCGACGAUCGGUAGCCGGACUGAGAGGUUGAACGGCCACAUUGGGACUGAGACACGGCCCAGACUCCUACGGGAGGCAGCAGUGAGGGAUAUUGGUCAAUGGGGGAAACCCUGAACCAGCAACGCCGCGUGAGGGAAGACGGUUUUCGGAUUGUAAACCUCUGUCCUCUGUGAAGAUGAUGACGGUAGCAGAGGAGGAAGCUCCGGCUAACUACGUGCCAGCAGCCGCGGUAAUACGUAGGGAGCAAGCGUUGUCCGGAUUUACUGGGUGUAAAGGGUGCGUAGGCGGCUUUGCAAGUCAGAAGUGAAAUCCAUGGGCUUAACCCAUGAACUGCUUUUGAAACUGCGGAGCUUGAGUGGAGUAGAGGUAGGCGGAAUUCCCGGUGUAGCGGUGAAAUGCGUAGAGAUCGGGAGGAACACCAGUGGCGAAGGCGGCCUGCUGGGCUCUAACUGACGCUGAGGCACGAAAGCGUGGGUAGCAAACAGGAUUAGAUACCCUGGUAGUCCACGCUGUAAACGAUGAUUACUAGGUGUGGGUGGACUGACCCCAUCC
rnacentral:rRNA from 1 species